GAAUAGGAUCCCCUGAAGAGAGCUUCCUUCAGUCCACUCAUGGGCAGCUGUAGGGUUGAAUUAGCUGCUGACUCAUUCAUUCAAAUACUAAGUCAGAGAAAGAGACUUGGUAGAUGAGUGAAUGAUGCAGGAGAUAAAGUUAGACUCUAUGCGGUCUUUGCUUGGACUGAAGGGAGCUCCCUUCGUCUAUAG
rnacentral:pre_miRNA from 1 species